GAGAGACCCUGAGUCCCCACACUGAGCAGAGAGAGGCCGAGUCCUCACAAUGGGUGGAGAGAGACCCUGAGUCCCCGCACUGGGCGGAGAGAGACCCUGAGUCUCCACACUGAGCAGAGAGAGGCCGAGUCCCCCCACUGGGCAGAGAGAGACCCUGAGUCCUCACACUGGGUGGAGAGAGACCCUGAGUUCCCACACUGGGCGGAGAGAGGCCCUGAGUCCCCACACUGGGCGGAGAGAGACCCUGAGUCCCCACGCUGAGCAAAGAGAGGCUGAGUCCCCACAUUGGGCAGAGAGAGACCCUGAGUCCCCACACUGGGCGGAGAGAGGCCCUGAGUCCCCAUGCUGGGUGGAGAGAGGCCCUGAGCCCCUACACUGGGUGGAGAGAGACCCAGAGUCCUCACACUGGGUGGAGAGAGACCCUGAGUCCCCACAAUGGGUGGAGAGAGGCCCUGAGUCCCCACACUGGGCAGAGAGAAGCAGAGUCCCCACACUGGGUGGAGAGAGACCCUGAGUCCCCACACUGGGCAGAGAGAAGCAGAGUCCCCACACUGGGUGGAGAGAGACCCUGAGUCCCCACGCUGGGUGGAGAGAGACCCUGAGUCCUCAAAUCAGGUGGAGGGAGACCCUGAGUCCUCACAGUGAGCACAGAGAGAUGUAGGUGGAGCUAAGGCACACAGGGGCUGAAGACCAGGCAAGGACAUGACUCCUCAUCCUAAAAGCAACGGGAAACCCAGGCCUUUGGUCUAGACUUAUCCCAUAUUAGAUUGGCUUUUUCAAGGGUCAGUUGGGACACUGUGUAGAGAUUGGCGUGGUCUGGAGUUGGAGGAAAAGACAGCAGGCAGAAGCUGGAUCCAGAGAGAUCAACCGAGGCACAAAGAGAUUCUGCAACCUGGCUUGGGCAGUCUGAGUUCUUCACCCCUGCCCUCCCUGCAUGCAGCGAAGCAGCCCAGGUAGGGGCUGGGUAAAGUGGAAAGGCCAGGACCUCUGCCAAGGAAAGAGAUUCCAAGGCAGAAGUCACUGAGAAGUUGUUCAGUGACCAGGGUCAAGGGUUGGCCGUUUCUAAGGCUGAGUGUGGCAGAGGGCACCAGGAGCUUGUCUUGCUGGUGGAGCUGGGGAACCCCAGGACCCGUGCGCCUCAAACCUGGGCCAGGAGUGAGGAGCUGGCCUCCCCUAGGCUGAACUUGACUCACAGACCGGUUUGGUGUGGGCCAUCCAGUUGAAAGGAGUUGUCAAUGUUUAAUAUUUGCUAGGCUUCACAGAAAAUUUAAACUUGGAAUAUUUUUCUGAAAAUGUGGAUGAUCAGGACCAAGUUAUUCUCCCGUAAGGCCACAGUCUGCUGGAGGGAAUGACAUCUCCAGCCAGCUCUUCUCCAGAGAACCCUGUUUCCUCUCUCCUGCUUACUCUUCAAGACUUCCCUUUGAUGUCACCUGGUCUGUGAGACAGCCUUUCCUGGGACCCCCCCACGGAGAGAGAACCCACUCAUAAGACUCCAAAAUGCCAAGGCGCCCAGCUUCUCAUGCCCACCUCUGAGCUGUGAGGCAGAGGCCUGUUUAUUUUGGGUUGAUGAGUAAAUCAUGUGGAACAGAAUCAAAAGCUCUGCUGAAGUCAACACAGAUGACAUCUGUCACUUCCUCUUAAUCCAUCAGUCAGGGGGAGAGGGCAUUGGAUUAAUUAGACAGGCUCUUUCAAACGUUUGCCAGCAAUGACUCCAUGCCCUCUUUCUCUCAUGCACUGGUGAAGGAAAACAAUGAAUUUUCACCCUAUUGUUUAUCUUAGAAGGGUCAGGUUUUGAGGUCAAACAUCAGUGUAAAAUUUUGUCUUAAAAAAUGCACAUGCAUUCUAACUGCUAAUAGCUCAUAUGCCCAUCUUUGAAAUCAAAGUUCUUGUUUCUUUACGAAUGUGCCCACUGCAAGGAUAUCAAAGCAUUGGCAGACAUUAAGUCAGUGGCUUUGCCUAAGCCAGGCUUUCUCUCAUUGAAAAGGGAGGGAUCUAUUUGGGGAGAGAGUCUCUGGGGGCCGUGAUUUAUCCAGUUUGAUUACAUGGAACACUGGUCUCUGUUUAUUUGCUGCAACAUGGCAUCUGCCUUGGGAGGAGAUGCUCCACAGUCGACUAGAGCCUCUGCCAGCUGUGGCCACUUGUCUUCAGGCUGCACCUGUGUGAGUCCCUUACUCGGCUCACUGAGCAUGACUCCUUCUGACCUCAGGGAAUGAAUGGCCUGUUUCCCAGGCACAGGACAGAUCCUGAAUGUCCCCAACCCUGAGAGUGUGUGCGUGCACCCUCCUCUCUUGCCUGAUCUCGUCCUGGCCUUGCCCUGGCACUUGUUCCUCACUGUUUGGUUCACUAAUUUGCUGUUCAAUAUAGAACUUUGUCCUUUCCUAACAUGCUUGGAGUCCCCUGGGUCUUUCAUUCUAUUCAGUUUUCCUGAAACUAGCCUUGUCCUCAUCCAGCCUUCUGGGCCUAUGCGAGAGCUGCCUGGAUUCCUCACUGGGGGAAGCGGAGGCAGGAGAGGAGGGGCCUUGGAUGUGAAUGCCAGCUCCUCCACUUACUACCUGGACCCUGCCAGAGCCACUUGACUCUCUCGGCUUCUGUGCGUUCAUAUUUAGAGUGCGCAUAACACAGUCGGCCCUUGAACAACACUGAACUGCAAGGUUUGAACUGCAAGGGUCCACUUACACACAGAUAUUUUUAAAUAAAAUUUACACCAAGCUUGCCUUUCUCUCCUGACUCCCCUUCCACCUUUGCCGUCCCAGAGACUGUAAGACCAACCCCUUCUCCUCCUACUCAGCCUCCUCAACAUGAGGAUGAGGAGGAAGACCUUUAUGAUGAUCCACUUCCAAUUAAUGAAUAGUAAAUAUAUUUUCUCAUCCUUAUGAUUUUGUUAUCAACAUUUUCUUGUCUCUAGCUUACUUUAUUGUAAGAAUACAGUAUACAAUACAUAUAAUAUACAAACCAUGUGCUAACUCAUUUUUUAAGUUGUUGGUAAGUCUUCCAGUCCACAGUAGGCUAUUAGUAGUUAAAUUCUGGGGGAGUCAAAAGUUAUGUGUGAAUUUUAAACUGCUCAGGGGUUGGUACCCCUAACCUCCACAUCGUUCGAGGCUCAAGCGUCUUAUCUUUCUUAGAGACUUGCUAUAGGGAUUCAGUUAAUAUAGAAAAAUAUGUUUGGAUCAAUACUUGGCACAGGAUGGUACUGUCCUGGGAGCUGUGCCUGAAAAUAAGCUGUAGAAGGAAACAUAAGACCUCUCCUUUUGCAAUAACAAGAAACCAUUAGAUAAAUCAAAAUCAAACACUCUUGUGAAAUUGUUGACACCCAUAAUGUGUAAAAAGCUAAAUUCCAGAAGAACCAGCCCUUCCUGCAUGAUCAAGGGCCAGUUGUUGAGGUUGAGGCCCAGCAAGGAAAAGAGCAAGCCCCCCGCAGAGGCCAGUCUUCGCCAAAUCAAGGAGAAAGCAGGCAAAUGUUGCCAGUCAGCCAGGCUUGUGUGUGGGUUUGGCUGUGGAGGAACUCCAGUGUGCUAAGGGUUCUGUCUGCCUCUCUCCUAUGGGAAUUCCUCUGAGUUAUCAGGGGUUGGGGAUAGCAAAGUCAUGUGACUGGCUGUUCUUCCAUCUAACAGUCUUGAGAUUUCACAGCCUCAAGGUUUAUCAUUUUGAGAUCUUGCAAUAUUGAGGAGUUUAAGCCCAGAGCCUUUCUUGAGAGAGAGGCUGCAACUAAGCAAAGCUGCAAGCAGGUUUCCACCCAAUUCAACUUCAGAUGAAAUCAAAGAUACCAGUCUAGUGGGAGUUGAGGAAGUUGGAGGCUAAGCUGAAAAGCAAAGAGAGAUCUCCUUGAUCCAGUUGGAGUUGAGUUGAUUGUAUUCCUUUAGGAGGCCUUAAAAGGCUUUUAUGCCUUUGUAGGGCCUUAAUGUUUAAACACAAGGAGUUUAACUAAUCAGCUCCUCACCUGAGAUAUGUAAUAAAAGAAAGGACAUUCCGUCUGAUGGUGAAUUUCAUACAUGUGUGUGUGUUUCAGCCUUUACUUUCUAGACACAGUGUCCAACAUACAAUUUUUUUAAUGGUAAGGCAUGGGAGAAGCAGGAGAAUAUGAUCCACAGUCAAGAGUAAAAUCUGCAAUGGAAACAGGCCCACUGAUGAUCCACAUACUGGAAUUACCAAAGACUUUAACAUACCUAUAGUAAAUAUGUUAAAGAAGCUCAGGAAAAUAUGAGUGUAACUGGCAAAGAAGAGAAAAAUCUCAUCAGCCAUGAAAACAAUAAAAAAGAACUAAGUGGAACUCUUAGAAUGAAAAACUGGAAAAUGUAAUAAUUGUAAUAAAACAUUUUCUGGAUGGGAUAAAGAGCAGAUCCCAUUAAACAGAGAAAAAAAUAAGUGGACUGAAAGAUCAAUAGAAAAAUUAUUGUGUCUCCAGUUUUUUUUUUUUUUUUGAGACAGAGUCUCGCUCUGUUGCCCAGGCUAGAGAGCAAUGGCAUGAUCUUGGCUCAC
rnacentral:lncRNA from 10 species